GAUGAAGAACGCAGCGAAAUGCGAUAAGUAAUGCGAAUUGCAGAAUUCAGUGAGUCAUCGAAUCUUUGAACGCACAUUGCGCCCUGUGGUAUUCCGGGGGGCAUGCCUGUCCGAGCGUCAUUGCUGCCCUCAAGCACGGCUUGUGUGUUGGGCCUCCGUCCUCCUCCCGGGGGACGGGCCCGAAAGGCAGCGGCGGCACCGCGUCCGGUCCUCGAGCGUAUGGGGCUUCGUCACCCGCUCUUGUAGGCCCGGCCGGCGCUUGCCGACACAUCAAUCUUUUUUCCAGGUUGACCUCGGAUCAGGUAGGGAUACCCGCUGAACUUAAGCAUAUCAAAAGCGGAGGA
rnacentral:misc_RNA from 1 species